GCAUAUUUCUGCUUGUUCUCUUGCAGCUGCUAUCACUAGGAGAACGAUUUUCUCUGAGCAGCAGCUGCCUCUUUUCACGAGUCCAGGGGAAAACACUCUUGGAGAUGACAAGAGCCCAAACUGCAACGAUGUGCCACACUCACCCAGUUGGAUCUGAACUGAAGCAGGGCCCCAGCCAAGCCUUGCCUAAGAUCAGCAGACCCUUAAUGACCCACACACAUUAUCUGCUUAGGACACAGAAGUCAAUCAUACCCACAUCCUGGAUGGAAUCAGAAUCAAAAUCAGCCAUGCAAUGAGGAAGAAGAAAUGUAUUAUUGAGGCCUGUGAUUCUAACUGUUCUAUCUUUCUGGAAUGUCUAUCAUGGAGAAAGUGUCCUGGAAAUCAGUUUCCAACAGAAUCAACACUGCUAAACAGACUCCCACUAGAGCAUGGAGAAAAAAAUCCCUAUGUACUAAUGAUCCACAGAAAAGCCUAAUCCUGAGCCACUUCCAUGUAUUUGCCCAUCCAUUUCUCCUCUCUGGUGGACACUCUUCAUAUUCAAAUUCUACCUGUCCUUCAAAGAUCAGAUUAAGUUCUAAAUUUUCACAAAGCCUUCUCAGCCUACUCUUACAGCUUAAUAGUGCAUAUCAACUUCAAUUAAUUAGAAACUCAUUUGUUUCAUUUUAUAUUAUUUAAUAGAAACACUAGAAUUUAAUCUUUGUGGUUUUUACAU